AUGGGGAAAGAGAUGCAGAGAGUACUGGAGUUCUACAGUGGAAUUGGCGGCAUGAGAUACUCGCUGAUGAAAGCUCAAGUAGAAGCGCAAGUGAUCGAAGCAUUUGAAAUCAAUAACAUUGCAAAUGAUGUUUACCAACAUAACUUUUCUCAUCGUCCUUAUCAGGGAAAUAUUCAAAGCCUAAUUGCUGCUGAUCUAGACAAAUAUGGUGCCCACACAUGGCUCCUUUCUCCUCCCUGUCAACCUUACACACGACAAAGUCUCUAG